AUAUACAUAGGAAUUUUUCCUGUAUACGAAGCGGUAGCUGUACCUGUACUUGAAAUCAUACACACUACAACCAGUAGUAUAGAGCUGCUAAAAAGAAAACAUAUAUAAUAACAAAGGUUCACUAUACAUAAAUAGUAUCCAGGUACACUAAAUCACUAGCUCCAGCGAGAUACAACAUCAGUAUGUAUAAAACCAAAAGCUAACACUAUCUGUAGCGGGUAUGUCUCUAACUCAGCAGCAAAACGGGAAGGGCUCUAACUCGCGACUCUGUUUCCACGAUCAGUCUCCGCAACAGCAAUAGCCGAAGAAGAGGGCUCUACAAAGGAUCCACAACUGGGCGUGAGAACUACUGCAAAAAGAAGUAGUCCUUAGUGGGUACUGCUACCGAGUUCAACGGCUCACCCACUAAGUUUACAGAAAGUAUGGUCAAUGAUAGUAAGGAAACUGAAAAUAAUCUACAGCUAUAUGCCAUUAUACUAUCAUGAUCCAACGCUACUAUCUGUAGAAUAAUGCAGUCUCUGACCCAAUCUUACUAGGGACUGAAUACACCCGUCCCGCCUGUUGAAGCUACACUAACUGCCACCACACUAGGUCGUCAGUGGAGAGCAAGUCCAAACAGAGCAAACCGAUAUCAACGCAAAAGUACUAAGCCAGACUCCGGAGUGGCACUCGUGGGCGCUACCCAACCGAGUAUGCAAGCGUAUCUCUGUCGAGCUCAAUCAGGCUCUAACAUGCUACAAUCAAGUAAAUAGGGUUUAACAGGUCUAACAACCAAACUCACGUGCCCUCGGCACAAUCUGAUGCAAAAACAGCAAUCUGGGUCCACCGUCAAUCUCAACGGCACCCGACAGUCCGAAACAGCCUAAACACUGCUGUAAAAAUAAGCUCGACAUCUCAGCACGAGCGUAAAUGCAUUCUAUACUGUCCUGGGUAUCCACCGCCCACAAACUGCGGCGAUACAAACAAACUACGACUCCUAGAGCUAAAUCUGGUAGUUUUAACAUAUGACGGUGUAGAAUCGCUAGUUUUCUCCUAUGUCAAAUCCAAGUCCAACAUGUAUAUUUAACUAACAUUUUAAGCUCCCAAUUCAAAUUUCAAUAAGCAUACAAAUCAUAAAUUUGAGCUAAUUAACAGGAUAAACGAAACCAAAGUACAUGUCGACAAUGACUAGGCUUAGGAGGAAACCCGUAUAAUCCGGUAAGCAUCAUUAGCCCACCUCUAGCGCUAAAUCCACGGUAGUGAGGAGUCGCCGGAAUCCCUGCCAAGCUCAGCCACAACAAGCAACAAGCCUCUCUAAGGAUUUAAACACCAAAAACACCAAAAAUUCAUCAAUACUCCAAAAAUUCAGCACUUAAGCUAAAUUAACCUUAAUCUCAAUAUCAACUUCACCUUCCGAUCUUCAAAUCUGGUGAGAAAAUGUUCCAAAUCCAGUGUACUAUGAUGGAGUAUCACCCUCAGGUCCGAAAUCUAGCUUCCUCCAAAAAUUGCAUCAAGAAAACCCACAAACUCUCAAAUUCAGUCCAAAAACACCAACAGCACGUAAACAUGCCAAAUUGACCAUGCUGACCUUAAUCAAAUGCUGUCAAAAUGGCUCCACGAAAUCUUCAGGAAGUUUUCUAACCAAAAACCAAAGUGGCAAACGGAGCUUCCUACGUCGCACACGAGCCAAAACGCCAAAGGUCGCUGCUAAUUCUGUUGAAACUGCAGUCUUCAAGGUAGAAUGUGUGCAAAUAGGGAAAUUGGAGGGGUUGGAAUGCAAAAUAGGGCUUCACUGUGAAGAAGAGGUGAAAAGGGUUCACAGGGGUCGUACACCACCUAUUUAUAGUGAGGUGAGAGGAUAAAUAAGCCCCAAGAACAAACAUUACCAACCUGCUGCCCCUGCAGAAACGGACAGUUUCGGACGCCCGAAACCAUGUUAUGGGCGUCCGAAACCUCCAAGCUAUACAAAUACUCUUCUUCGGUUCCUCCGCCCGCAGUGUGUUGCAUCCUUAUCCUGGUCCGGCAGAACUCACCUACCACAUACACAUGUCAGCACAGCGAUAUUCACAAAGUGAACUUUCGGACCCAAAAGGACCCACUUCUGGGUGACCGAAACCAGGAUCUGAAUUGGCUUCCAGUUCUCCUCAGUUCAGCACUCGAGUUCUGGGCGACCCAAAUCUUGUUCUAGGCGCCCGAAACUGACAAAACUCCAGUUUUGCUCCUUUGAGUGCGGCAAGUCUGUUUCUCCAUCCAUUUCGUGCAGAAACGACUCCGACUCAGUCCAACACUCUCCAGAUGUGUCGACCAGUCACUAAUACUAUAGUCAAUCCUAUCCAAACCUCCGGAACACUACAGUUAUUAAAAUAUUUGUUACGUGCAUUUGUCCGUAU
rnacentral:lncRNA from 1 species